CCUACGGGAGGCAGCAGUGGGGAAUAUUGCACAAUGGGGGAAACCCUGAUGCAGCGACGCCGCGUGAGUGAAGAAGUACUUCGGUACGUAAAGCUCUAUCAGCAGGGAAGAAAAUGACGGUACCUGACUAAGAAGCCCCGGCUAACUACGUGCCAGCAGCCGCGGUAAUACGUAGGGGGCAAGCGUUAUCCGGAUUUACUGGGUGUAAAGUGAGCGUAGACGGCGUGGCAAGUCAGAAGUGAAAGGCAGGUGCUCAACCCCUGAACUGCUAUGGAAACUGCCAUGCUAGAGUGCAGGAGAGGUAGGUGGAAUUCCUGGUGUAGCGGUGAAAUGCGUAGAUAUCAGGAGGAACACCGGUGGCGAAGGCGGCUUACUGGACUGUAACUGACGUUGAGGUGCGAAAGCGUGGGGAGCAAACAGGAUUAGAUACCCGAGUAGUC
rnacentral:rRNA from 1 species